CCUACGGGUGGCUGCAGUGGGGAAUAUUGGUCAAUGGGCGCAAGCCUGAACCAGCCACGCCGCGUGAGUGAUGAAGGCCUUCGGGUUGUAAAGCUCUGUGGGGAGGGACGAAAACGGUCCGGAAGAAACGACGGAUCCUUGACGGUACCUCCUUAGCAAGCACCGGCUAACUCUGUGCCAGCAGCCGCGGUAAUACAGAGGGUGCGAACGUUGCUCGGAAUUACUGGGCGUAAAGCGCGUGUAGGCGGGACGGUAAGUCGGAAGUGAAAUCCCCG
rnacentral:rRNA from 1 species